UCGAAAUAUGGCUAGGGUAAGAGUAUCCUCCACUACAAGAUCCUUAAAUGAAAUACUGGACUGCGAUUUAGCAAUAUAGUUAGAAAUUCUUGUAUUACUUAUUAUUUUUUAUUUUGAUUUCCUAUUUAUUUACUAUAUUGAUUGCAAUAAAAUCUUUAUUUCAUAAGUUUUUUUUGAGUGGUUAGCAACUUCUAUUUUUUGUCCCGUGCUUCUUAUUCGUUGCGGGUCGGAAAAUAGAAAAGUUGGGUGAAUCAAAAACCCCAAGGAGGUUCAUGGCCAAGGGUAAAGAGG
rnacentral:lncRNA from 1 species